rnacentral:lncRNA from 1 species
CUAGGUCUGGGUUAGAAAGGGAGCAAAAGAGCUGCUUUUCAGGUUAAAAGAGAUCAUAUGAAACGGGAGUGGCAAAUUCAAAUUCUCCUGAGGCAAAGGCAGUUAACACCAGUAUAUAAGGCCAGCCUGGUGGGGACCGAGGUGAGUGGGAAGCAAUGGCCUCAUCUGAAAGGGGCGUCAUUGGCUGCUGCCACACAGGAGUGUGGACUGCAAUCACCAGGUCUCCUGGACAUCUAGGACAUUCCAAAGUUUCAGGCAUUUGAGGUUCUGCAAGAAGAGUUCUGUUGUUGACACCAUUGGGUCAACUGGAGACUCCACAGAGUUGCCACAGAGCUGCAGUAUGGAGCAUUGGUUUCUUUCUUGAGUUGUGCUAACAAAAUUAAAGAUACGAAUUUAAC